GUUCAAAAUCUCCUAUUAUGACCAAUUGGAUGACUGUCUUCUCCCUUAGUGGACUCCUCAGGAACAACAUGGACCUCCAAAACACCCAGGGGCAUAUGGAUUGUGGAGCACUGGGAGAAACAGCCAGGAUCCUCCCUUGGGCAAUUGUCUUCUGACAGUUCUAGUGAGUAUCCGUCACCAAGCCUGAAAAGAC
rnacentral:lncRNA from 1 species